rnacentral:rRNA from 1 species
CCUACGGGAGGCAGCAGUGAGGAAUCUUGGUCAAUGGGCGCGAGCCUGAACCAGCCAAGUAGCGUGAAGGAUGACUGCCCUACGGGUUGUAAACUUCUUUUAUAAAGGAAUAAAGUGAGGCACGUGUGCCUUUUUGUAUGUACUUUAUGAAUAAGGAUCGGCUAACUCGGUGCCAGCAGCCGCGGUACUACGGAGGAUCCGAGCGUUAUCCGGAUUUAUUGGGGUUAAAGGGAGCGUAGAUGGGUUGUUAAGUCAGUUUGGACAGUUUGCGGCUCAACCGUAAAAUUGCGAUUGAUACUGGCAGCCUUGAGUACAGUUGAGGUAGGCGGAAUUCGUGGUGUAGCGGUGAAAUGCUUAGAUAUCACGAAGAACUCCGAUUGCGAAGGCAGCUUACUAAUCUGCCACUGACAUUGAUGCUCGAAAGUGUGGGUAUCAAACAGGAUUAGAUACCCCAGUAGUC